CAGGCUUGGCACAGGGACACUCCCCCUGACCCUACCUCCAUAUCCAGGCUUGGCACAGGGACACUCCCCCUGACCCUACCUCCAUACCCAGGCUUGGCACAGGGACACUCCCCCUGACCCUACCUCCACACCCAGGCUUGGCACAGGGACACUCCCCCUGGGUGGCCAGCCCAGUCAAAACUCUUCUCAGUACCUGCAGAUCCAGAAGGUCCAGAGUUUUCUGCAGAACUUUAUCCCAAUUUCUUUGAUACUGGCAACACAACAACCCGGAAAAAAUAUGUAGUGGAAAUGAUUGGGGAAAUGAGGAAUCUGCUGCGAGUGAAUACGCAGACAAUAGCAAACUAUUUAGGAAGUACUCCAUUUCAACUAAAAUCUUUCCCCAAUAGCAUUUACAAUAGAAUUAGCAUAUCAUAGCAUUUGUAUGGUGGAGAACUUACUAAUCACUCUUUUAAAUGUACAUGCCGAGCCAGAGCCUUGGUGGAAAGAGAAUGAUGCAUUAGACACUUGGUACUCUGUCUGCCUGUCGGCCUGCCUGUUUGUCUGGCUGUCUACCUGUCUGUUUGUCUGCCUGCCUGCCUGUUUGUCUGGCUGUCUACUUGUCUGGAUGUCUGUUUGUCUGCCUGUCUGUUUGUCUUGCUGUCUGCCUGUCGGUUUGUCUGGCUGUCUGCCUGUCUGGCUGUCUGCCUGUCUGUUUGUCUGCCUGUCUGGCUGUCUGCCUGUCUGUUUGUCUGGCUGUCUCUUUGUCUGGCUGUCUGCCUGUCUGUUUGUCUGCCUGUCGGUUUGUCUGGCUGUCUGCCUGUCUGUUUGUCUGGCUGUCUGCCUGUCUGUUUGUCUGCCUGUCUGUUUGUGGGGCUGUCUGCCUGUCUGUUUGUCUGGCUAACACUUCUCUCCCCCCCUCUAUGAAUUCAAUUUAAACAGUUUUAUUGGCAUAAGAAAAUAUAUGUGGAAAAAGGUACAAUAAACCUAUGAAGUGAAGAAAAAUAUAUCAAAAAAUAAAUCAGAAAUUCUUAACAUUACACACAUCUCUCCUUCUCUCUGUCCCUUCUUCUCCUUCUCUCUCUCCCUUCUUCUCCUUCUCUCUCUCUUUUCUUUUCCUUCUCUCUCUCCCUUUCUCUGUAUGUCUCUACAACUGGCUGUUUCUCUGCUUGGUGUUCCCCAUCUUCAUGUUAUUUUUCUCUCUACCCAGAGAAAACGAGUCGAGGAGAUCCUAGAAGAUGAGAAAGGACUGACCAUAUACCGCACUUGAGAUCUGCUGUGCUUUGAAGUAAAAAGGUACAGAAGCCAAGAUGGAGUCUUGCUGCCCUCUGGUGGUUGCAGUGUGCAAUCACAGCACAGGACUGAGGAUUUCCCUGAAGCUGGAGUAGAUUCCUGUUUUACAGCAAUUGUUCAAGCAAAUAAAAACUUAAAAAAUAAUCUGUUAUUGUAAUCUGUAAUUUUGAGUUCAGUAGUUGUAUUGGAAGGGUUAG
ensembl:lncRNA